rnacentral:rRNA from 1 species
GAUGAACGCUGGCGGCGUGCCUAAUACAUGCAAGUCGAGCGAACAGAUGAGGAGCUUGCUCCUCUGACGUUAGCGGCGGACGGGUGAGUCACACGUGGAUAACCUACCUAUAAGACUGGGAUCACUUCGGGACACCGGAGCUAAUCGCGGAUAAUCUCUUGAACCGCAUGGUUCAAUAGUGAAUGACGGUUUUGCUGUCUCUUAUAGCUGGUUCUGCGCCGCAUUAGCUAGUUGGUAAGGUAACGGCUUUCCAAGGCAACGAUGCGUAGCCGACCUGAUAGGGGGGUCGGCCACACGGGAGCUGAGACGCGGUCCAGACUCCUACGGGAGGCAGCAGUAGGGAAUCUGCCGCAGUGGGCGAGAGCCUGACGGAGCGGCGGCGCGUGAGUGAUGAAGGUCUUCGGAUCGUGAAACUCUGUUAUUAGUGAAGAACAAAUUUGUAAGUAACUAUGCACGGCGUGACGGUACCUAGUCAGGAAGCCACGGCUAACUACGUG